rnacentral:lncRNA from 1 species
CAUAGUAACUGCCAAGCUCUGGGGAGAGUCAAGCUCCAUCUUGAGAACAGAACCCUGAAGAGAGGAGUCUGAGAGUGGUCAAAAGACAGGAGGUGAUGGGAAGAAACAAGGCUGCAGUGAACAAAUCCGGUACUGAAACUAUUGUCUCCCGAGAUUUCUAAGUCAUCCAACAGAAAAAAAAAAAUCAAAUGAUUUUAUUUUUUCAGAUUCAUCUGUGUAGCUCUUUUGAAAUUGGAAAAUUGCAAUCACAUUUUAUUCUGUUGACUAUUUAGCACAAAAAUAAUCCACUUGGUAUUAAAGGAAGCAAUCAUAAGAAUGAAAACACACAAAUCCCAACACCACUCUUCAAUAAUAAAUACUUUAACUUUAAAAUAAUAGCUAUUAUCCUUUUAGCUAAUGGCGAAAUUACCAUUUUUACUCUGCCAGAUAGUUAUUCUUUUGGUAAUAGAAACACUAACCUUUUUUCUCCCUAGGGAUUUAUUAGUAAGCACGUGUAAUCUUUGGCAAAAGGGAACCUGAAAAUGCAUUUCCCUGGGGACCCGGCGCCAGUCGAUGCCUUUCAGCCUGCGGCUGACCUUGGAGACGCAGAAAAGCAGGAUUCCAGGACACAUUUACGACCGUCAUAAUUGGAGAGACAGCCCUGCCCCUCCAAGGCCACCCUGCAGGCUUUGUCUACCAGGCACUUCCUCCUCUCUCCCAGGAAGCACGUGUGACUCUAACACUCCCUUGCGCUCCCACGUU